rnacentral:snoRNA from 2 species
GGGAGAUGAUGAGCGGUGUCAGCUCGCUAUAUGCGAGAGGGGUGUCCGCCCCAACUAAGCCUGUUACGACAAUGGGGCACCCCAAUGACUUACCAUCUGAUCCC